rnacentral:tRNA from 1 species
GGGCGAUUAGCUCAGUCGGUAGAGCGCCUCUCUUACACGGAGGAUGUCGGCGGUUCGAGCCCGUCAUCGCCCACCA